rnacentral:RNase_P_RNA from 1 species
CCAGUCGGCCGGACAGCCGCUGCCGCACGCGCCGAAAGGCCGCGGGAGAGGAAAGUCCGGGCUCCAUGGAAACACGGUGCCGGGUAAUCCCCGGCGAGGGCGACCUCAGGGAAAGUGCCACAGAAAGCAAACCGCCCCGGCUUCGGCCAGGGUAAGGGUGAAAGGGUGGGGUAAGAGCCCACCGCGUCUCCGGCAACGGCGGCGGCACGGUAAACCCCACCGGGAGCAAAACCGAAUAGGGACAGCGCGGACCAGAACUCCGGUUCGGUUCAGGCCGGUUUCCAGGCCGGCUGUCCGGGUUGGUUGCACAAGGCGUCCGGUGACGGGCGCUCAAGAUGAAUGGCUGUCACGUCCGCGGCUGCGGCCACGGGCCAUACAGAACCCGGCUUACAGGCCGGCUGGCUUC